AGUGAACGCUGGCGGUAGGCCUAACACAUGCAAGUCGAACGGCAGCACAGUAAGAGCUUGCUCUUACGGGUGGCGAGUGGCGGACGGGUGAGGAAUACAUCGGAAUCUACUUUUUCGUGGGGAUAACGUAGGGAAACUUACGCUAAUACCGCAUACGACCUACGGGUGAAAGCAGGGGAUCUUCGGACCUUGCGCGAUUGAAUGAGCCGAUGUCGGAUUAGCUAGUUGGCGGGGUAAAGGUCCACCAAGGCGACGAUCCGUAGCUGGUCUGAGGGGAUGAUCAGCCACACUGGAACUGAGACACGGUCCAGACUCCUACGGGAGGCAGCAGUGGGGAAUAUUGGACAAUGGGCGCAAGCCUGAUCCAGCCAUACCGCGUGGGUGAAGAAGGCCUUCGGGUUGUAAAGCCCUUUUGUUGGGAAAGAAAAGCAGCAGGUUAAUACCCCGCUGUUCUGACGGUACCCAAAGAAUAAGCACCGGCUAACUUCGUG
rnacentral:rRNA from 1 species